rnacentral:rRNA from 1 species
CAGUAGCCACGGGAAAACGAAGGGGGCUAGCGUUACUCGGAAUUACUGGGCGUAAAGGGCGCGUAGGCGGCACGAUUAGUCAGGCGUGAAAUUCCUGGGCUCAACCUGGGGACUGCGCUUGAUACGGUCGAGCUAGAGGAUGGAAGAGGGUCGUGGAAUUCCCAGUGUAGAGGUGAAAUUCGUAGAUAUUGGGAAGAACGCCGGUGGCGAAGGCGGCGACCUGGUCCAUUACUGACGCUGAGGCGCGACAGCGUGGGGAGCAAACAGGAUUAGAUACCCCCGUAGUCCCUGUCUCUUAUAC